UACGUAGGGGCUAGCGUUGUCCGGAUUUAUUGGGCGUAAAGAGCGUGUAGGCGGCCAUGUAGGUCCGGUGUGAAACUCGAGGCUUAACCUCGAGAUGUCAUCGGAAACCAUUGGCUAGAGUCCGGAAGAGGAGAGUGGAAUUCCUGGUGUAGCGGUGAAAUGACGCAGAUAUCAGGAAGAACACCAAUGGCGAAAGCAGCUCUCUGGGACGGUACUGACGCUGAGACGCGAAAGCGUGGGGAGCGAACAGG
rnacentral:rRNA from 1 species